rnacentral:rRNA from 1 species
GAUGAACGCUGGCGGCGUGCCUAAUACAUGCAAGUCGAGCGAACAGACGAGGAGCUUGCUCCUCUGACGUUAGCGGCGGACGGGUGAGUAACACGUGGAUAACCUACCUAUAAGACUGGGAUAACUUCGGGAAACCGGAGCUAAUACCGGAUAAUAUAUUGAACCGCAUGGUUCAAUAGUGAAAGACGGUUUUGCUGUCACUUAUAGAUGGAUCCGCGCCGCAUUAGCUAGUUGGUAAGGUAACGGCUUACCAAGGCAACGAUGCGUAGCCGACCUGAGAGGGUGAGCGCCCCCACUGGAACUGAAACCGGGUCAAGACUCCUCGGGGAGGCAGCAGUAGGGAAUCUUCCGCAAGGGGCGAAAGCCGGAGGGAGCACCGCGGCGGGGGUAAUAAAGGUUUUCGAAUCUAAAACCUUUUUUAUGGGGGAAAAAAAAAUGUGAAAGUACCUAUGCACGUCUGGAGGUUCCCUAAAAAAAAGGCCACGCCAAACCCCGCC